rnacentral:lncRNA from 1 species
AUGGUUGGACACACAUGGAUCCACAGCUUGUUAAUAGUGACAGGGCUUCAGUUCACAGGAGCUGCUUUGAUCAGACGUGGAGACGACGUCUCGUUCCAUUGUAACUAUCUGAUCCCUGAUCAGAGUCAGUGUGACGCCACCACCUGGCUCUACAGUGGCUCAGGAUCAGCAGCAGUGGAGCUGGUUACACAUGGGAAUAUUAGAGAAAAGGCUGCAUCUAUAUACAACAGACUGAGUUUAACAGAGAACUGUUCUCUGGUCAUAAAGCAGGUCACAGAUCAGGAUGCUGGUCGUUACACCUGCAGACAGUUUAAAUCAGGACGACAACAAGGUGGAGAUGCUGCUGUUGACUUGUCUGUUGUUACCUUGACUCAACAUGAACACGAUGAUAAGGUGACAUUAAACUGUCACGUGUGGACGAACAGUCAGUGCAGACACACAGUAAAGUGGCUGUUUGAGGAUAAAGACCUGGAAAAGACUUCAAUAAAGUCAUCACAGUCUCUCUGUGACGCUGCUGUUACUUUUAGUAGAAGUUCCUUCUAUUCAUCGCGGUCCAUUACUUCAUUCAAGUGUGAAGUGAGAGAUGGUCACAAUCAUCAAAGCUCCACCUUCAACCUUCAGCCUCAAGAUGCAGCAACAGCAGCGACUGAAUCCUCCGUUUCAAGCAGCACAGCAGCAGGUGAAGACCCAACAUUUAACACUAAUGGAUUAAAAGACUGGUUGUGGUUGUUCAUCGGUGCAGCGGUGGCUUUGGUGACGCUUCUCCUGCUGGCCGUCAUCGGAUGGAAGAGAACUAGAGGCAGGAGCUUUCACACUGAAUGUGACGCCUGGAAGGUUUAA